AUCGAUAACUCGGGCGUACCUACGUACAGUGUAAUUUAAUUUACCCUUUACGCGCCCGUCUCUCUUUUUUUUUUUGUUCAACGAUUUUAACGCACGCCCGCAAAUCUCUCCGAUAUCAACUUCGUCAGCUAUAUGAUCGUAGCAGACAAUGUGGCCGGCGUUGCACCGAGUCGAGUCGAGAGUCAAGAAAUAGACAGUUACCUGUAGCCACUCGUUCUCUAGCGAUGCAAAUUUCUCGACACCGGACGAUAGCAGAAUGGAAGAGUCAAGACUGCCGCAUGAGAGUAAAGAGUCUGCAUGUCGACUAGGGGGAGGCUGGAGGAUAAGGCAUCAAAGAGAGCCAAGCAGGACGUCACAGACCUCGCGGAUGUCGCGGAUCAUGACGCGUGGGCGAACGAUGUCCAUUCAAUGUACACGCACACUCGAACAAUGUACUUUGGAUAUUUUUUCCGGACCAUAAGCCCCAAUAGCUCCUCGGCCUUUGCGGAGAUGAGCUUCGACUGGAGCCAUUAUACCUUGCAACUUCUUUCCCAAACCUUUACCAGGUUCAAAACCCAUCUG